CCACGAUGAACGCGCCGCGCGCCUAGAAUCUCGGUCGCGCUCAGCCAUUUGCUUCGUGAGGACCUACGUGCGACAACGUGACAGCGUUCCUGAGGCAGCUCGUGCACUUCGGGUCUCGUCGCGCUGCUCUUGGUUAACCGUCAAGUUCACCGGAACAAACCACCUCGGUGACAGUCCUCUGGGAAGCCUAAUCUGUGCGCCACGAAGUGCGUCUGUUUCGCAGCCGAGGAUCCACUUCAGCGCACCUGGGGCGAGACAGGCGGACUGACAGUGCUUACUUGGCCGGCGGUGCCUCUGGAAUGGCAGCGACCCACGGAAAGGUAGCAUCCUCUCAAUUGGCUGCUGCUCCGGGAGUGGACGCGGUAGCCCCGGAAUUAGUUGCAGGGCCUGGUCCUCACUGGGCUGCACACCCGGGAUUGGCUGUGGUCUUGGCACUGUCUGGGACCUUGAGACUGGCAGGAACCUCUGGACAGACAGCGACCCCUUGAGAGCGAGCCACCCCCGGACGGAUGAGGCUCUGGUACGGCGGAGGUCAGAAAAUUGGCGUCGACACCAAAGGGGCCAAUGGCGCCUCCUGGAGCAGCUGUUUGUUG